rnacentral:rRNA from 1 species
GAACGCUAGCUACAGGCUUAACACAUGCAAGUCGAGGGGCAGCAUGGUCUUAGCUUGCUAAGGCCGAUGGCGACCGGCGCACGGGUGAGUAACACGUAUCCAACCUGCCGUCUACUCUUGGACAGCCUUCUGAAAGGAAGAUUAAUACAAGAUGGCAUCAUGAGUCCGCAUGUUCACAUGAUUAAAGGUAUUCCGGUAGACGAUGGGGAUGCGUUCCAUUAGAUAGUAGGCGGGGUAACGGCCCACCUAGUCUUCGAUGGAUAGGGGUUCUGGGAGGAAGGUCCCCCACAUUGGAACUGAGACACGGUCCAAACUCCUACGGGAGGCAGCAGUGAGGAAUAUUGGUCAAUGGGCGAGAGCCUGAACCAGCCAAGUAGCGUGAAGGAUGACUGCCCUAUGGGUUGUAAACUUCUUUUAUAAAGGAAUAAAGUCGGGUAUGGAUACCCGUUUGCAUGUACUUUAUGAAUAAGGAUCGGCUAACUCCGUGCCAGCAGCCGCGGUAAUACGGAGGAUCCGAGCGUUAUCCGGAUUUAUUGGGUUUAAAGGGAGCGUAGAUGGAUGUUUAAGUCAGUUGUGAAAGUUUGCGGCUCAACCGUAAAAUUGCAGUUGAUACUGGAUAUCUUGAGUGCAGUUGAGGCAGGCGGAAUUCGUGGUGUAGCGGUGAAAUGCUUAGAUAUCACGAAGAACUCCGAUUGCGAAGGCAGCCUGCUAAGCUGCAACUGACAUUGAGGCUCGAAAGUGUGGGUAUCAAACAGGAUUAGAUACCCUGGUAGUCCACACGGUAAACGAUGAAUACUCGCUGUUUGCGAUAUACUGCAAGCGGCCAAGCGAAAGCGUUAAGUAUUCCACCUGGGGAGUACGCCGGCAACGGUGAAACUCAAAGGAAUUGACGGGGGCCCGCACAAGCGGAGGAACAUGUGGUUUAAUUCGAUGAUACGCGAGGAACCUUACCCGGGCUUAAAUUGCAGAUGAAUUACGGUGAAAGCCGUAAGCCGCAAGGCAUCUGUGAAGGUGCUGCAUGGUUGUCGUCAGCUCGUGCCGUGAGGUGUCGGCUUAAGUGCCAUAACGAGCGCAACCCUUGUUGUCAGUUACUAACAGGUUCCGCUGAGGACUCUGACAAGACUGCCAUCGUAAGAUGUGAGGAAGGUGGGGAUGACGUCAAAUCAGCACGGCCCUUACGUCCGGGGCUACACACGUGUUACGAUGGGGGGUACAGAGGGCCGCUACCACGCGAGUGGAUGCCAAUCCCCAAAACCUCUCUCAGUUCGGACUGGAGUCUGCAACCCGACUCCACGAAGCUGGAUUCGCUAGUAAUCGCGCAUCAGCCACGGCGCGGUGAGUACGUUCCCGGGCCUUGUACACACCGCCCGUCAAGCCAUGGGAGCCGGGGGUACCUGAAGUGCGUAACCGCGAGGAGCGCCCUAGGGUAAAACUGGUGACUGGGGCUAA